rnacentral:rRNA from 1 species
GACGAACGCUGGCGGCGUGCUUAACACAUGCAAGUCGAACGGAAAGGCCCUGCUGUUGUGGGGUGCUCGAGUGGCGAACGGGUGAGUAACACGUGAGUAACCUGCCCUUGACUUUGGGAUAACUUCAGGAAACUGGGGCUAAUACCGGAUAGGAGCUCCUGCUGCAUGGUGGGGGUUGGAAAGUUUCGGCGGUUGGGGAUGGACUCGCGGCUUAUCAGCUUGUUGGUGGGGUAGUGGCUUACCAAGGCUUUGACGGGUAGCCGGCCUGAGAGGGUGACCGGCCACAUUGGGACUGAGAUACGGCCCAGACUCCUACGGGAGGCAGCAGUGGGGAAUAUUGCACAAUGGGCGGAAGCCUGAUGCAGCAACGCCGCGUGCGGGAUGACGGCAUUCGGGUUGUAAACCGCUUUCGCCUGUGACGAAGCGUGAGUGACGGUAAUGGGUAAAGAAGCACCGGCUAACUACGUG